rnacentral:tRNA from 1 species
UGCCCCGUCGUCUAAUGGCAAGACAGUAGACUCUGGAUCUGCUUAUCGAGGUUCGAAUCCUUGCGGGGCAG